rnacentral:rRNA from 1 species
CCAGACUCCUACGGGAGGCAGCAGUCGGGAAUAUUGCGCAAUGGAGGAAACUCUGACGCAGUGACGCCGCGUGCAGGAAGAAGGUUUUCGGAUUGUAAACUGCUUUAGACAGGGAAGAAACAAGACAGUACCUGUAGAAUAAGCUCCGGCUAACUACGUGCCAGCAGCCGCGGUAAUACGUAGGGAGCAAGCGUUAUCCGGAUUUAUUGGGUGUAAAGGGUGCGUAGACGGGAAGGCAAGUUGGUUGUGAAAUCCCUCGGCUUAACUGAGGAACUGCAGCCAAAACUGUCGUUCUUGAGUGCUGGAGAGGAAAGUGGAAUUCCUGGUGUAGCGGUGAAAUGCGUAGAUAUUAGGAGGAACACCAGUGGCGAAGGCGGCUUUCUGGACAGUAGCUGACGUUGAAGCACGAAAGUGUGGGGAGCAAACAGGAUUAGAUACCCGGGUA